AGCUGUCUCAAAGAUUAAGCCAUGCAUGUCUAAGUAUAAGGCAAUCUAUACGUGAAACUGCGAAUGGCUCAUUAAAUCAGUUAUCGUUUAUUUGAUAGUACCUUACUACAUGGAUAACCGUGGUAAUUCUAGAGCUAAUACAUGCUAAAAAUCCCGACUUCGGAAGGGGAGUAUUUAUUAGAUAAAAAACCAGCGCCCUUCGGGGCUCCUUGGUGAUUCAUGAUAACUCAACGAAUCGCAUGGCCUUGCGCCGGCGAUGGUUCAUUCAAAUUUUUGCCCUAUCAACUUUCGAUGGUAGGAUAGUGGCCUACCAUGGUAUCAACGGGUAACGGGGAAUUAGGGUUCUAUUCCGGAGAGGGAGCCUGAGAAACGGCUACCACAUCCAAGGAAGGGCAGGCGCGCAAAUUACCCAAUCCCGACACGGGGAGGUAGUGCCAAUAAAUACUGAUCCAGGGCUCUUUCGGGUCUUGUAAUUGGAAUGAGUCCAAUUUAAAUCCCUUAACGAGGACCAAUUGGAGGGCAAGUUUGGUGCCAGCAGCCGCGGUAAUUCCAGCUCCAAUAGCGUAUAUUAAAGUUGUUGCAGUUAAAAAGUUGGUAGUUGAACCUUGGGCCUGGCUGGCCGUUCCGCCUCACCGCGUGUACUGGUCCGGCCGGCCCUUUCCUUCUGGGGAGCCGCAUGCCCUUCACUGGGCGUGCCGGGGAACCAGGACUUUUACUUUGAAAAAAUUAGAGUGUUCAAAGCAGGCCUWUGCUCGAAUACAUUAGCAUGGAAUAAUAGAAUAGG
rnacentral:rRNA from 1 species